AGUGAACGCUGGCGGUAGGCCUAACACAUGCAAGUCGAACGGCAGCACAGUAAGAGCUUGCUCUUACGGGUGGCGAGUGGCGGACGGGUGAGGAAUACAUCGGAAUCUACUUUUUCGUGGGGGAUAACGUAGGGAAACGUACGCUAAUACCGCAUACGACCUACGGGUGAAAGCAGGGGAUCUUCGGACCUUUCGCGAUGGAAUGAGCCGAAGUCGGAUUAGCUAGUUGGCGGGGUAAAGUCCCACCAAGGCGACGAUCCGUAGCUGGUCUGAGAGGAUGAUCAGCCACACUGGAACUGAGACACGGUCCAGACUCCUACGGGAGGCAGCAGUGGGGAAUAUUGGGCAAUGGGCGCAAGCCUGAUCCAGCCAUACCGCGUGGGUGAAGAAGGCCUUCGGGUUGUAAAGCCCUUUUGUUGGGAAAGAAAAGCAGCAGGUUAAUACCCCGCUGUUCUGACGGUACCCAAAGAAUAAGCACCGGCUAACUUCGUG
rnacentral:rRNA from 1 species